CUGGGCCGUGCUGAGGAGGAAGAGGAGGCCGCGGGGUCCUUAUGGCGGCCCCGUCGCGGGGCUGCGGGUCGCGGCUGGACCCGGUGGAGACGCUGCAGGAGGAGGCGAUCUGCGCCAUCUGCUUGGAUUACUUCGUGGAGCCGGUGUCCAUCGGGUGCGGGCACAACUUCUGCCGCCGCUGCAUCGCGCAGCUCUGGGGGGGCGCGGACGGGGCGGCCCCGGAGGAGGAGGAGGACGAGGAGGAGGAAGAGGAGGAAGAGCUGGAGGUGGUGGAGGAGGAGGAAGAGGAGGAGGACGAUGAAGGCGCCGAGGAGGAGGAGAUGUGGAGCGAAGAGGAGGACCCCGCGCUCUGGGGGGACCCCGCGGAGGAGGCGGGGAUGUGGGGCGGGGAAGGGCAGUACCCGGGGGAGGAAGAGGAGGAUGAGGAUGUGAUGGAGGAAGACGUCGAGGAGGAGGAGGAGGAGGAGGAAGAAGAAGAGGAGGAAGAGGAGGAGGAAGAGGCUCAACCGCGGCGCCUCCAGCCCUUUACGUGCCCCCAGUGCAGGAAAAGCUUCUUCCAGCGGAGCUUCCGCCCCAACCUGCAGCUGGCCAACAUGGUGCAGAUCAUCCGGCAGCUCCACCCGCACCCGCAGCGCGGCCCCGGGCCCGGCCCCGGCCCCGCGGGGGGAGCCGCCGCCGCCGGCCGCUGCGAGAAGCACCAGGAGCCGCUGAAGCUGUUCUGCGAGGUGGAUGAAGAAGCCAUCUGCGUGGUGUGCCGCGAGUCCCGCGGGCACAGGCACCACAGCGUGCUGCCCCUCGACGAGGUGGUGCAGGACUACAAGAACAAGCUCCAGGGUCACCUGGAGCCGCUGAAGAAGAAGCUGGAGCUGGUGCUGAAGCAGAAAUCCAGCGAGGAGGAGAAGAUCACGGAGCUGAGGGCGCGGAUGCAGCUGGAGAUGCAGGAGCUGGAGGCGGAUUUCGAGCGGCUGCACCAGUUCGUGCUGGGCGAGCAGGUGGCGCUGCUGCGGCAGCUGGAGGAGCGCUACGAGGCGCUGCUGCGGCGCCAGAGCGGCAACGUGCGGCUGCGGCAGGAGCAGAGCGCGGCGCUGCGCCGCCUGCUGGCCGAGGCGCACGCCAAGAGCCGGCAGGACGGGCUGCAGCUCCUGCAGGACAUCAAAGGCACCUUCAUCAGAUGUGAGAACAUCCAAUUCCAGGAGCCCGAGAUGGUGCCUGUGGACGUGGGCAAGAAACAUCGGAAUUACUUCCUGCAGGACGUGGUGAUGAGGAAGAUGGAGAAGGUCUUCGGCAAGGUCCCGCGAGCGGCGGUGACGCUGGACCCGGCCACGGCGCACCCGCGCCUCAGCCUGUCCCUGGACCGGCGCAGCGUGCGCCUGGGCGAGCGGCGCCCGGAGCCUCCCGACGCCCCCAAGCGCCGCGCCUGGGAAUUCUGCGUGCUGGGGGCGCCGGGCUUCAGCGCCGGGCGCCACUACUGGGAGGUGGAGGUGGGCGGCAGGAAGGGCUGGGCGCUGGGAGCCGCGCGGGAGCCGCCGCGCCGCAAGGAGAAGGCGCCGGGAGCGCAGCCCGAAGGCGAGAUCUGGUGCGUCGGCACCGCCGGGAAGCGCUUCCAAGCGCUCACGGCCACGGAGCAAACGUUCCUGGCGCCGGGAGAACGGCCCCGCCGCUUCGGGGUCUACCUGGACUAUGAGAGGGGGCAGCUCUGCUUCUACAACGCCGAGAGCAUGAGCCACAUCCACACCUUCAACGCCUCCUUCCGCGAGCGCAUCUUCCCCUUCUUCCGCAUCCUGGCCAAGGGCACCCGCAUCAAGAUCUGCGCCUGAGCCCGCGCUUUUCCUGCCCCUUGGACUCCAUCUGGAUCCCAGGUUGGGAGCUGGCGCUGCUUUUCCUGCCCCUUGGAUCCCAGUUCAGGAUCUGGCGCUGCUUUUCCCACCCCUUGGAUCCUGGUUCAGGAUCCGGCGCUGCUUUUCCUGCCCCUUGGGUUCUAUCUGGAUCCUGUUUGGGAUCCAGCGCUGCUUUCCCUGCCCCUCAGAUCCCGGUCUGGGAUCUGGCGCUGCUUUUCCUGCCCCUUGGAUCCCAGUUCAGGAUCCAACGCUGCUUUUCCCGCCCCUGGGAUCCCGUUUGGGAUCUGGCGCUGCACUUCCCUUGCACCCACUUCCCUCCCGCUCCAGCUCCUCCCGGGAUCCAAAGCCAGGCUGGGGAUGGAAUUGGGGAUGGAUCCACCUCGGAGGCAGUUUUCCUGCUGCCGGGAGCUCUCCCAUUCCCAGCGGAUGACAUCCCGGUGGGAUUCCACGUCGGGAAGCUCUUGGCUUCAUUCCCAACCCACCUCCCAUCCUCCUCCUCCCCAAUUCCCAUCGCUGGUUGCCCUGAGGAUUCCUUUGGGAUUCGCUUCCAACCAUCCUCAGAGCGCGGCCGGUGUCCAGACCUGGAGUCUAUCCCGCUUUUCCCUGCGGCAUUCCCUGGUUUUGGGGUCUCCAUCCCCAUUCCCUCUCCUGGCACUUCUCCCACCUUCCUGCUCCUGUAUUUAUUUUUGCUGCCAGAAUCUGCUCCCGAGAUUCCAGCUCAAUCCAGAGACUCCGGUUGUGGAUUUUCCCUGGUUUUGUUGGUGGGGGUUGGUUCCUGGCGGCAUUCCAGAGCUACUUCCAACUAUUUUUGGCUAAAAAAAUAUGGGAAUUAAAUGGAGAUUUAGUUUUAUGAGAUGUCAAAUAAUAAAGAGGAAGGUUGUAAA